rnacentral:rRNA from 1 species
GAGUUUGAUCUUGGCUCAGGAUGAACGCUAGCUACAGGCUUAACACAUGCAAGUCGAGGGGCAGCAUGAACUUAGCUUGCUAAGUUUGAUGGCGACCGGCGCACGGGUGAGUAACACGUAUCCAACCUGCCGAUGACUCGGGGAUAGCCUUUCGAAAGAAAGAUUAAUACCCGAUGGCAUAGUUCUUCCGCAUGGUAGGACUAUUAAAGAAUUUCGGUCAUCGAUGGGGAUGCGUUCCAUUAGCUUGUUGGCGGGGUAACGGCCCACCAAGGCAUCGAUGGAUAGGGGUUCUGAGAGGAAGGUCCCCCACAUUGGAACUGAGACACGGUCCAAACUCCUACGGGAGGCAGCAGUGAGGAAUAUUGGUCAAUGGGCGCUAGCCUGAACCAGCCAAGUAGCGUGAAGGAUGACUGCCCUAUGGGUUGUAAACUUCUUUUAUAUGGGAAUAAAGUGCAGUAUGUAUACUGCUUUGCAUGUACCUUAUGAAUAAGGAUCGGCUAACUCCGUGCCAG